UGUGAUUUGAAUUCUGUACCCAUCACACCCUGAGAGAACGCAAGUGGUAUAUUAUUCAAUUAUUUCAGUUGACUUCAGAGACUCUGGUUCCAGUACCAGUUACUCCAUUCUUCAUCGUGGAAUCAUGGCCUGUCUCAAGAACUUUUGUGCAUCGUUAGCUCAGCUCAGUGUUCCUGGGGACAGGGACGUAUUGAGGAGGAGCUAGGGGAUGAGUGAGCAGUCGUUGUUGAUUUCCGUUUUGAGCGUUUUGCUUCAGUAAGAGGAUGAAUUUUUUCAGAACGAUCACAAGCACGCGCCACCGCACAACCUUUCUUGCCGGAACAACGUCGUAACUUGUUGUAGUACUACCACUAGUUACGAGCAACGCAGUACAAGCACUACUUAGCUGAGACAGGUCUAAAUCGGCCUUUAAUUCAUGCAAUGUCAUACCUGAAUUUGAUCAAAUGCUUAGAGCCAAAAAAAAAAAAAGAAGAAGAAUUUGAUCGAUCUGCACACAAAACUACAAAUUAUGACUACUUUCGUAAUGAAAAACAACGUAAAAAAGGCUACUAUAUGGGUAAAAGAAA